GUCAAAGCACGUAAGGGCAUACGGUGGAUGGCUUGGCAGUAGAAGCCGAUGAAAGACGUGGUAGCCUGCGAUAAGCUUCGGGGAGGCGGCAAACAGCCUUUGAUCCGGAGAUUUCUGAAUGGGGAAACCCCCCUGGUAAUGACCAGGGACCUGCCGCUGAACACAUAGGCGGUAUGGAGGGAACCUAGGGAAGUGAAACAUCUCAGUACCUAGAGGAAAAGAAACAAAUUAAAGUAUUCCCUAAGUAGUGGCGAGCGAAAGGGGAGAAGCCGAAACCAUUAUGAUGAACUUACACACCGAGUAGGACGCAAGUUUUACCGCGGGUGUGAGGGAGGGCUUGGGCCGCCGUCAUAAAUGGGGUUGUUGGACAAAACAUGCUCGACCCAUGUAGAGCGCAUAGAGAAGAUGUGUGUUAGUUGAAUCCGCUGGAAAGCGGAACCAAAGACGGUGAUAGUCCGGUAGACGAAAAUACACAUCUCAUAUGGUUUUGAAUCCAUAGUACAACGAGGCCCGAGAAACCUCGUUGGAAGCAGGCACGACGAUGUGCCAAGGCUAAAUACUUCUACUGACCGAUAGUGAACAAGUACAGUGAUGGAAAGCUGAAAAGCAGCCCGGAAGGGCGAUGAAAUAGUCUCUGAAACCGUAUGCUUACAAGGAGUUGGAGCGGGUAGCAAUAUCCGUGACAGCGUUCCUAUUGAAGAAUGAGCCAACGAGUGUGCUGCAUGUCGCUCGGUUAAGUCCCUGCGGGGACGAAGCCACAGUGAAAGCGAGCCUGAAUAGGGCGUUUUGGUGGCAUGCACACGACCCGA
rnacentral:rRNA from 1 species